UAAAUUUAUAUGUGAAGAUUGUGGAACGUAAUUUUGUUCUACUUCAACGUUGUAUCGGCAUAUGAGGAAUAUACAUAAUAAAAAACAAAGUGAAAAAGAGAGCAAACACAUUAUUUGCCCCCUUUGGUUUGACAAAGAGAAGUUUACAUCCUAAGAUUCUUUAAUAACACACUUUCAUAGUAUUCAUAAUAUACAUAAUAUUAAAGAAUCUGUUUUAAAUUUUAGGAAUUUGGCAGAGUUUGAAGCUUGGAGGUCUCUGGAAAACAAAGAGGUAGAUUAUGCUGUUCACCGAAGAAAGAAAUCUGCUAAUGGAGAAGAAUGUAUUUACUAUAAUUGUAAUACAAGUGAUUCAAAAGGAUAUAUCAGUACAUGUUUGCAACAGAAUUUAAAGUCUAAAGAAAGCAUUCGCAUUCAAGGACUCUGUCUAUCAAGAAUAAUAGUUAAAAUUUUGGUAAAUGGAGUGAUUAGAGUAAGAUUUUUUGAAACCCACAUAGGACACACUGAUGAAUUAAGAAGCAAAAGGCUAACAAAAUCGUAAUUAUCCAUAACGUAAUUAUGGUGGUGAAUUGGGUGAACAUGAUUUAAAAAUGUUUAUGGGUGAUUUUAGAAAUUUUAUGCAGACAGUAAAGCAAAAAGAAAUUGUGAUGAGUAAAAAAGAUAAAAAUAGAAAAGCAGCAGUAUUAUCCCAACAAAAAACCUAAAUAAAGUUAUUUAUAACAAAAUUUUUAUAACUGUUUUAUUAUUGCAUGACAUUGCUUUUAUGAGUG
rnacentral:lncRNA from 1 species